UACGGAGGGUGCAAGCGUUGUCCGGAUUUAUUGGGUUUAAAGGGUGCGUAGGCGGUUCUUUAAGUCUGGGGUGAAAGCCCGUUGCUCAACAACGGAACUGCCCUGGAAACUGGAGGACUUGAGUACAGACGAGGGUGGCGGAAUGGAUGGUGUAGCGGUGAAAUGCAUAGAUACCAUCCAGAACCCCGAUUGCGUAGGCAGCUGACUAGGCUGGUACUGACACUGAGGCACGAAAGCGUGGGGAGCGAACAGG
rnacentral:rRNA from 1 species